AUACAGUUAUCAAUCACAUGUGAUUUAUAUAAUAACUGUAUAAGUCAACUUGUAUUCCCCCCCCCCUUAUAUAAGCAUGUAAAAACAUUUAAAAGGUUAAUUCAGGGGUAUGAACUCACCUGUUGUAAGUGGAUUGGGCUGAGGUGCCGGUUGGAUACUCGGUGUCAUGUAAAGACUUGAACACAUUGUGUGACCUAUUAACAUAUGAUGACAUAUGUUUACAUACAAUUAGUAANUAAAGACUUGCACAUUGUGUGACCUAUUAACAUAUGAUGACAUAUGUUUACAUACAAUUAGUAAUUAUAAUACUAAUUAAACAUGUAUACACAUCCUAAUGUGCGGAAAACACUUUGGUCAAGUGCUAGGGGUGUCCCGGGUAGCAUCUAAGGGUGUGUAUGGCCUAGUUAGGGAGUUUACUCUUCAAGAGUAAACUCUUUAUAGAGUUUACGACCCUAAGACCAUAUCCC
rnacentral:lncRNA from 1 species